UAUGCGUGUAGUGAGCUUUUACGGCGGAAAAAAGAAAAAAAAACGUCGGCAUGAAUCAGCAUGGUCAACCCCCGGUAUCAGAGUCCCGAAGACCCGCCAGCCUCCUUCUUCCUAGAGCACAAGUUGCUGGACAUGGUCCGUAAACAAAUAUUAAGCUGUUCGUUAUCCGGGGGAACUGGUGGUGCUGCCGAAGCCAAACUGGGUCACCUGGACAAUCUAGGCGGGAGUUCCUUUGCCGUAAGUCCCCGAUCAAUAAAAAGGAACCGGGGAUCGGCGACGACAUGAAUCGGCAGGCCAGCCCCCGGUAGCAGAGUCCCGAAGACCUCCAUGCCUCCUUCUUCUGAGAGCACAUGUUGCUGGAUAUGGCCCGUAAACAAAUAUCAAAGUGUUCGCUAUCCGGGCGUAACUGGUGGCGCUGCCGAAGCCAAAUUGGGUCACCUGGACAAUCUAGGCGGGAGUUUUUUUGCUGUGAGACCCCGAUCAAUCAAAAGGAACCGGGGAUCGGCUUAUGACGACAUGAAUCGGCAGGCCAACCCCCGGUAGCAGAGUUCCGAAGGUGUUCGUUAUCGGGGUGGAACUGGUGGUGCUGCCGAAGACAAACUGGGUCACCUGAACAAUCUAGGUGAGAGUUCCUUUGCCGUGAGACCCCGAUCAAUCAAACGGAACCGGGAUAGGCUAGUGUAAAUGAAAAUUGCAACCAAGUGCCCAGCAAAAUCGGA